rnacentral:rRNA from 1 species
AGAGUUGAUCAUGGCUCAGGAUGAACGCUAGCUACAGGCUUAACACAUGCAAGUCGCGGGGCAGCAUGGUCUAGCUUGCUAAGACCGAUGGCGACCGGCGCACGGGUGAGUAACGCGUAUCCAACCUUCCCCUUAGUAGGGCAUAGCCCGGCGAAAGUCGGAUUAAUACCCUAUGUUUUCCAAUGCAGGCAUCUAAAAUGGAACAAAGAUUCAUCGCUAAGGGAUGGGGAUGCGUCUGAUUAGGUAGUCGGCGGGGUAACGGCCCACCGAGCCUGCGAUCAGUAGGGGUUCUGAGAGGAAGGUCCCCCACAUUGGAACUGAGACACGGUCCAAACUCCUACGGGAGGCAGCAGUGAGGAAUAUUGGUCAAUGGGCGAGAGCCUGAACCAGCCAAGUAGCGUGCAGGACGACGGCCCUAUGGGUUGUAAACUGCUUUUAUGCGGGGAUAAAGUGCGGGACGUGUCCCGCUUUGCAGGUACCGCAUGAAUAAGGACCGGCUAAUUCCGUGCCAGCCGCAGC